rnacentral:rRNA from 1 species
AGAGUUUGAUCCUGGCUCAGAACGAACGCUGGCGGCAGGCCUAACACAUGCAAGUCGAGCGGUAACAGGCGUAGCAAUACGUGCUGACGAGCGGCGAACGGGUGAGUAAUGCAUCGGAACGUGUCCUCUUGUGGGGGAUAACCAGUCGAAAGACUGGCUAAUACCGCAUGAGCUCGAGAGAGGAAAGCGGGGGACCGUAAGGCCUCGCGCGAUUGGAGCGGCCGAUAUCAGAUUAGGUAGUUGGUGGGGUAAAGGCCUACCAAGCCUGCGAUCUGUAGCUGGUCUGAGAGGACGGCCAGCCACACUGGCACUGACACACGGGCCAGACUCCUACGGGAGGCCGCAGUAGGGAAUCUUCCGCAAUGGGCGAAAGCCUGAUCCAGCCAUGCCGCGUGAGUGAUGAAGGCCCUAGGGUUGUAAAGCUCUUUCACCGAUGAAGAUAAUGACGGUAGUCGGAGAAGAAGCCCCGGCUAACUUCGUGCCAGCAGCCGCGGUAAUACGGAGGGGGCUAGCGUUGUUCGGAAUUACUGGGCGUAAAGCGUGCGCAGGCGGCUUUGCAAGACAGAUGUGAAAUCCCCGGGCUCAACCUGGGAAUUGCGCUUGUGACUGCAAGGCUGGAGUGCGGCAGAGGGGGAUGGAAUUCCGCGUGUAGCAGUGAAAUGCGUAGAUAUGCGGAGGAACACCGAUGGCGAAGGCAGCCCCCUGGGCCUGUACUGACGCUCAUGCACGAAAGCGUGGGGAGCAAACAGGAUUAGAUACCCUGGUAGUCCACGCCCUAAACGAUGUCAACUAGUUGUUCGUAGAGGUAACUCUGUGAGUAACGCAGCUAACGCGUGAAGUUGACCGCCUGGGGAGUACGGC